rnacentral:rRNA from 1 species
CAGCCGUAAACAAUGUGCGUUAGGUGUGUCGGUAACCACGCGUUACUGAUGCGCCGAAGAGAAAUCGUGAAACGCACCACCUGGGAAGUACGGUCGCAAGGCUGAACUUAAAGGAAUUGGCGGGGGAGCACCACAACAGGUGGAGCCUGCGGUUUAAUUGGAUUCAACGCCGGACAUCUCACCGGAUAAGACAGCUGAAUGAUUGUCAAUCUGAAGGUUUACAUGACUAGCUGAGAGGUGGUGCAUGGCGUCAGUGAC